UUUGACACAGCAUCUUUUCCACAGUGGAGUUAGGAACAGACUAUAAGAAAUGGUUGGUCUGGAGGAAAAAGGGUAAAACUUAUGAUAGAAAUGGAAGUUUCUGCUGUUUAUAAACUGGAAAUAAUGAUACAUGUCCUGACUCCUAUUGGGUUGUUGCAAAGGAAUCAAUUGAAAUAAGACAAGACUUUCUGAAGGCACUUUGCCAACUUUCAGAACUGUAAAGAUUAAGGGACUGCUACUAUGUGCUGCUCAGGAAAUAACAGGCACCUGGGAAAACCCACGAAGUAAGGUUUUGUAAGAAGUUGCUCUGCUCCCUGGGAGAAAACGCGGAGCUCAACACUGCCAAGAGGAACAAGUCUGGGAAAUUACGACAUGACAGAGUUCCUUUAGUAGAUGACUUCUAUCAUGACAAGCAAGCUAAAAACGUGCACUGCAGCAGCACCGGGACUUGACAGCCCUACGGCUCGAUCAGCUUUCUGUUUUCAUUGCCUUACGAUGCCAUGAGUGGAACUAUUGUCAAAUCAGAGUUCACUCCCCAGCUUUUCAGUCUUUCCCCUAAUUCUUGCUCUAUCAGAGGUCGAGGACAACAGUAUAAUGAUUCAUAGGUUCUACUUCCUGGCAAGUAAUCAUUUUCCCACGGGCCCUUGUGAAUUGAUGAAUAUGAAGACACUAAGAAAGCAGAAAUAGAACUGAGAAGAAUGAAAUAACUGUCUCUACCUUUCUCGAAUUGUCUAAUAUGGAAAGAAUGAAAGACAGCUAAUAAGCAACUCUCUGCAAGAAGACAUAUGGCUUAGGUUCUGCUGAGCUAUUGGUGAUUUGAUUCCAUGCAUAUGUAUUCACUACUGCAGGCCUAGGAAAACACCAGGACUAACCCCCUGGAGGGAGCCUAGCUUCAGGAUUAAUUAGGGCUUGAUUAAUUAAUUAAGGUAUGAAUCGAGGGCUUAAACAGUAGUUAACUAAGAAAUAUGUAUUUGUUUUACAAAAGUUAAAAUUGAGAUGGGAUCUUGCUAUGUGGCCCAGGCUGGCCUCAAACUCCUGAAUCUACUUGGAGAGAGUCAAACACAGAAUCCCUUUGAAUUUAAUGGCCAUUCCAGGUGAUUUGAACAGCCAAAUAAGAAACAGGUCCUCUUCAAUGUACAAUCUGCCAAG
rnacentral:lncRNA from 1 species